GAGUUUGAUCCUGGCUCAGAACGAACGCUGGCGGCAGGCUUAAUACAUGCAAGUCGAGCGCCCCGCAAGGGGAGCGGCAGACGGGUGAGUAACGCGUGGGGAAUCUACCCAGUUCUACGGAAUAACACAGGGAAACUUGUGCUAAUACCGUAUACGCCCUACGGGGAAAGAUUUAUCGGGAUUGGAUGAGCCCGCGUUGGAUUAGCUAGUUGGUGGGGUAAUGGCCUACCAAGGCGACGAUCCAUAGCUGAUCUGAGAGGAUGAUCAGCCACACUGGGACUGAGACACGGCCCAGACUCCUACGGGAGGCAGCAGUAGGGAAUAUUGGACAAUGGGCGAAAGCCUGAUCCAGCCAUGCCGCGUGAGUGAUGAAGGCCUUAGGGUUGUAAAGCUCUUUCAGUGGGGAAGAUAAUGACGGUACCCACAGAAGAAGCCCCGGCUAACUUCGUGCCAGCCGCCGCGGUAAG
rnacentral:rRNA from 1 species